rnacentral:rRNA from 1 species
AUUGAACGCUGGCGGCAGGCCUAACACAUGCAAGUCGAGCGGAUGAAGGGAGCUUGCUCCUGGAUUCAGCGGCGGACGGGUGAGUAAUGCCUAGGAAUCUGCCUGGUAGCGGGGGAUAACGUCCGGAAACGGGCGCUAAUACCGCAUACGUCCUGAGGGAGAAAGUGGGGGAUCUUCGGACCUCACGCUAUCAGAUGAGCCUAGGUCGGAUUAGCUAGUUGGUGGGGUAAAGGCCUACCAAGGCGACGAUCCGUAACUGGUCUGAGAGGAUGAUCAGUCACACUGGAACUGAGACACGGUCCAGACUCCUACGGGAGGCAGCAGUGGGGAAUAUUGGACAAUAGGCGAAAGCCUGAUCCAGCCAUGCCGCGUGUGUGAAGAAGGUCUUCGGAUUGUAAAGCACUCUAAGUUGGGAGGAAGGGCAGUAAGUUAAUACCUUGCUGUUUUGACGUUACCAACAGAAUAAGCACCGGCUAACUUCGUG